rnacentral:ncRNA from 1 species
UUCUAUCUUCGGGGCAGGGUGCAAUUCCCGACCGGCGGUGAUGAACGUAUGUUGUUCUAAGUCCGUGACCCGCAAUGCAUUAAGCAGAGCGGUGGAUCUGGUGAAAUUCCAGAGCCGACAGUUAAAGUCUGGAUGGGAGAAGAUUAUA